rnacentral:lncRNA from 1 species
AACUAUUUGAACUCCUCUCUCAAGAAACAUCACCCCAUCUCAUGGAAAGAAUUCAUCACUGCGGCCAAAACUUGGUGAACACUCCCAGUACGGAAACCUCAAAGAGGCAAUAAAAAGAAGUUCUGGCUACAGUGGAAAAUAAGCCAAGCUCCCGCCAAGUUGAGUACUUUGCAAACAGUGAAAACCAAACGUUGAACGCGUGAUCAGACGCUACCGGCGCAUCUCGAGAACAGCUCAGCGAACCCGAAAUGGAGUCGAAAGGGCAGGCAUUUGUCUGAGAGAAGAGAGCCCCUUUAAGAAAAGACUGGACCAGCUGGCUGCACUACAGCGCCUAGAGAUUUCCUGGCUCCGCCCCCCAGCCUCCGGCCUCAGCAACGCGUGACGUCAGGAGAGGCGGAUGCUGCCGAUUGGCUGGACGAUACAGCUAGGUCAAGUCCAGUCGGAGGAAAGAAGUUUGUCUCCAUGUGGAAACCAUGUGUCUAGUACUGGGAGGGGGAGGAGGAGGAGGCGGAGAAACUGAGAUCAAGUGAUUACAGGGGAACUCGCUGAAAUGAAGGCGGGGAGGUUGUGCACCUGAAUCAGCCAGCCAUACCCUUUGCAGUAGUGACCUAAAAAAAAAAAUAAAAAUAAAAAAGACUCACACAACAAA